AACGAACGCUGGCGGCAGGCCUAACACAUGCAAGUCGAGCGCGCCCUUCGGGGUGAGCGGCGGACGGGUGAGUAACGCGUGGGAACGUGCCCUUUUCUACGGAAUAGCCUCGGGAAACUGAGAGUAAUACCGUAUACGCCCUUUGGGGGAAAGAUUUAUCGGAAAAGGAUCGGCCCGCGUUGGAUUAGGUAGUUGGUGGGGUAAUGGCCUACCAAGCCGACGAUCCAUAGCUGGUUUGAGAGGAUGAUCAGCCACACUGGGACUGAGACACGGCCCAGACUCCGACGGGAGGCAGCAGUGGGGAAUCUUAGACAAUGGGGGCAACCCUGAUCUAGCCAUGCCGCGUGAGUGAUGAAGGCCUUAGGGUUGUAAAGCUCUUUCAGCUGGGAAGAUAAUGACGGUACCAGCAGAAGAAGCCCCGGCUAACUCCGUG
rnacentral:rRNA from 1 species